rnacentral:snRNA from 16 species
AUACUUACCUUGAUGGGAUAUUCCCCUUCAUGUACCUGGGAGUGUCGGCCGUUGGGUUCUUCCAUUGCACGGCGACCUUGUCCCCAGAGGAACCUGGCGGUUUGUACGGCCCUAUGGGUCGUGCACCGUCUCAAUAUUUUCCUGUCCCGCUCCGGCCCUCGGGCUGGGCGGGC